rnacentral:rRNA from 1 species
AACGCUGGCGGCAUGCCUUACACAUGCAAGUCGAACGGCAGCAUGGAAGAGCUUGCUCUUCUGAUGGCGAGUGGCGAACGGGUGAGUAAAGCAUCGGAACGUACCGUGUAGUGGGGGAUAACGUAGCGAAAGUUACGCUAAUACCGCAUACGCACUGAGGUGGAAAGCAGGGGAUCGCAAGACCUUGCGCUAUACGAGCGGCCGAUGUCAGAUUAGCUAGUUGGUAGGGUAAAGGCCUACCAAGGCGACGAUCCGUAGCGGGGUCUGAGAGGAUGAUCCGCCACACUGGGACUGAGACACGGCCCAGACUCCUACGGGAGGCAGCAGUGGGGAAUAUUGCACAAUGGGGGAAACCCUGAUGCAGCCAUGCCGCGUGUGUGAAGAAGGCCUUCGGGUUGUAAAGCACUUUCAGUGGGGAGGAAGGGGUGAUGCCUAAUACGCAUCAUCAUUGACGUUACCCACAGAAGAAGCCCCGGCUAACUCCGUG